CCUCUGGAUCCUCCUUCGCCCAAGGACGGGCUCCUCCCCUGUAUCCCCUCCUUCCUCUUGCAGGGCUGAACGGCUCCAGUCUUCCCGUAGCCAUUUUGCAAGUGCUGACUGUUGAGUGCCUGUUCUGGUUAGUCCCUGUCCUGCUUUCCAGAUGCCUCUCCUUCCACCUCUGCAGUUCACAAAAAGCCUCACCAGAGAACAGUCACCUGGUGUCCCCUGAUGUCGAUGGCGGAGGAUUUGUCCGUGACCCACAAACUUUCACUGUCACAAACGGAGUAUUCCCCCCGGUGGCCCCUGUGCUCUGCAUACCUCUUCCGCCGGGAGGUUCUGUUCACCACCACAGAAUUCCCGAUGUAAUCCUCCAUGAGGUACAGGGGCGGCGGCUCCAGCGGCGUGUUGUCACUCAGAAGGACGCGGGGAGAAUUGUAGCGUCUCUGCUGCCUCAAGAGAUCUAAAACUUGUUUUUUAAAAUGUCUGCCUGAAUGAGUUUAAUAAUAAGAGAAUUUAUCGAAUCUUCUGGGAAACUCCUUUGAUCCAUGUUGGAAGACUGGAUGCCACGAAGGGAGUAUUGGGUGAGCGGUCCCUGCUCCUCUGGCUGCAGGAAGAGUUGUUCUGAGCAAGCUGAGCUUGAACAGCCAUGGCAGCAAGGCUAGGGAAGGGGGGAGACAAUCCUCCCUCCCUUUUAUAUUCCUGACGAGGUACCAGCUCUGGCAACAUGUGGUGAAAAUCUUUCUGCAAAAGAGAGGAGCUGACCUGCCUGAGGUGCACAGGAGGCCUGUGGCGUGACAGGGCUGGACUGGAAGAAGUCAAUGCAAGCAGAGGCCAGAGAAGCUUCUAGGUUUGGACCUGCUGGUUCCUGCAGCAGCACACUUCAUUGAGUAGUACAAAAAAUUAAUUUUGUUUUGUGUUGUGAUUUGCAGUUAGGUUCUUUGGUUUCCUAAAAAAUAAAAUUGCAGCCAAAGCUUCCGCAGCAGUUUGGAUGUUCUUAAAUUUUUAUUUGUGUGGAUUGCCUGAUACUGAUAGCUCCAGGAUUCUCUCCUGUGGAAACCCAGGGCACCGGGAAUAUUUAUCUGUCUGCUCUGAGGUGCCAUGACCCCCAGGGGAGCACUAACUUUGACCCUCAUUCAUGGGGAAAGUUUCCUAGACUUCAAGACAGACUAGAAUCCACAAAAGUGUGAAAUAGAUUAUAGAAAAGAUUAUAGUGUAGGUGUAUCACUUGGUGAGAAAUUUAGGUUUGGGGAUUUUUAAUAUGUUGCGGAUGGAAGCAAGAUGGAGGGCACAGGGUGUCAUUCUGGGUUUCUUCUUCAUGCUUCUUCCUUCUUCUUCAUGGGUUUGGGUGGCAUUUUGUAAUUGGGAAGAAAAGUCCACAUUGCGGGCUCUUUGGGAUCAGUUAUUGGGUUAAAAGGGAAAAUAAUCUGGGUGUCAGUUCUUAAUUAGAUAGCUUAGUUUUAAAAGACCUUGUAACAAGAGAUUGUUAGCCAUUUUGUGCCUUCUAAUGAAAAGCUGCCGAACUCACAGUGAUGAGACUGUUCUACUAAUAAAAAAUAAUAAACACCUGAGUCCAAACA